rnacentral:rRNA from 1 species
GAUGAACGCUGGCGGCGUGCCUAAUACAUGCAAGUCGAGCGAAUGGAUUAAGAGCUUGCUCUUAUGAAGUUAGCGGCGGACGGGUGAGUAACACGUGGGUAACCUGCCCAUAAGACUGGGAUAACUCCGGGAAACCGGGGCUAAUACCGGAUAACAUUUUGAACCGCAUGGUUCGAAAUUGAAAGGCGGCUUCGGCUGUCACUUAUGGAUGGACCCGCGUCGCAUUAGCUAGUUGGUGAGGUAACGGCUCACCAAGGCAACGAUGCGUAGCCGACAUAAGAGCGUGAUCGGCCACACUGGGACGGAGACGCGGCCCAGACUCCUUCGGGAGGCAGAAGUAGGGAAUCUUCCGCAAUGGACGAAAGUCUGACGGAUCAAAGCCGCGUGAGUGAUGAAGGCUUUCGGGUCGUAAAACUCUGUUGUUAGGGAAGAACAAGUGCUAGUUGAAUAAGCUGGCACCUUGACGGUACCUAACCAGAAAGCCACGGCUAACUACGUGCCAGCCGCCGCGGUAA